GGUCGUACGCUUUUUCUUUCCCGGAGCUUGCUCCCCGAAAGAAAAAGAGUGCGCAACGGUUGAUUAACACGUGGGUAACCUGCCCAUCCUAAGGGGAUAACCCUUGUUAACAGGUGCUAAUACUGUAUAACACUAUUUUCCGCAUGUAAGAAAGUUGAAAGGCGCUUUUGCGUCACUGAUGGAUGGACCCGCGGUGCAUUAGCUAGUUGGUGAGGUAACGGCUCACCAAGGCAACGAUGCAUAGCCGACCUGAGAGGGUGACCGGCCAUGCUGGGACUGAGACACGAUCAAAAUCUCUACGGGAGGCAGCAGUAGGGAAUCUUCGGCAAUGGACGAAAGUCUGACCGAGCAACGCCGCGUGAGUGAAGAAGGUUUUCGGAUCGUAAAACUCUGUUGUUAGAGAAGAACAAGGAUGAGAGUAAAAUGUUCAUCCCUUGACGGUAUCUAACCAGAAAGCCACGGCUAACUACGUGCCAGCAGCCGCGGUAAUACGUAGGUGGCAAGCGUUGUCCGGAUUUAUUGGGCGUAAAGCGAGCGCAGGCGGUUUCUUAAGUCUGAUGUGAAAGCCCCCGGCUCAACCGGGAAGGGUCAUUGGAAACUGGGAGACUUGAGUGCAGAAGAGGAGAGUGGAAUUCCAUGUGUAGCGGUGAAAUGCGUAGAUAUAUGGAGGAACACCAGUGGCGAAGGCGGCUCUCUGGUCUGUAACUGACGCUGAGGCUCGAAAGCGUGGGGAGCGAACAGGAUUAGAUACCCUGGUAGUCCACGCCGUAAACGAUGAGUGCUAAGUGUUGGAGGGUUUCCGCCCUUCAUUGCUGCAGCAAACGCAUUAAGCACUCCGCCUGGGGGAGUACGACCGCAAGGUUGAAACUCAAGGAAUUGACGGGGGCCCCGCACAAGCGGUGGAGCAUGUGGUUUAAUUCGAAGGCAACGCGAAAGACCUUACCAGGUCCUGACAUCCUUUUGACCACUCUUAGAU
rnacentral:rRNA from 1 species